ACGUUAAUCGGAAUCACUGGGCGUAAAGCGCGCGUAGGCGGUUUGUUAAGUGGGAUGUGAAAUCCCCGGGCUUAACCUGGGAAUUGCAUUUCAAACUGGCCGACUAGAGUACGGUAGAGGGAGGUAGAAUUUCCUGUGUAGCGGUGAAAUGCGUAGAUAUAGGAAGGAAUACCAGUGGCGAAGGCGGCCUCCUGGAUCGAUACUGACGCUGAGGCGCGAAAGCGUGGGGAGCAAACAGG
rnacentral:rRNA from 1 species